rfam:Otolemur garnettii contig110009, whole genome shotgun sequence.
UUGCUUCAGCAUCACUUAUACCAAAAUUGGAAUGAUAUGGAGAAGGAGAAGAUUAGCAUGGCCCUGGUGCAAGGAUGACAUGCAAAUUCAUGAAGUGUUCCGUAUUUUU